AACGAACGCUGGUGGCAUGCCUAGCACAUGCAAGUCGAACGAAGCCUUCGGGCUUAGUGGCGCACGGGGUGCGUAACACGUGGGAAUCUGCCCUUCGGUUCGGAAUAACAGUUAGAAAUGACUGCUAAUACCGGAUGAUGACGUAAGUCCAAAGAUUUAUCGCCGAAGGAUGAGCCCGCGUAGGAUUAGGUAGUUGGUAGGGUAAUGGCCUACCAAGCCGACGAUCCUUAGCUGGUCUGAGAGGAUGAUCAGCCACACUGGGACUGAGACACGGCCCAGACUCCUACGGGAGGCAGCAGUGGGGAAUAUUGGACAAUGGGCGAAAGCCUGAUCCAGCAAUGCCGCGUGAGUGAUGAAGGCCUUAGGGUUAUAAAGCUCUUUACCAGGAUGAUAAUGACAGUACCUGGAGAAUAAGACUCCGGCUAACUACCGUGCCAGCAG
rnacentral:rRNA from 1 species